AGCAGUGUGGCCUAGUGGAAAGAGCACUGGCCUGGGAGUCAGAGGUCGUGGGUUCUAAUCCCGGCACCGCCA
rnacentral:tRNA from 1 species